UUGUAUUCCUGGUCCGGCUCCUGGAGGCGUUUAUCCCACGCAGGACACCAUAUGUGACAGAGCGGUUGCAGUACUGACGUCCCGGACCAGGAAGAAGCAAUACAAAAACAAAGGCAAAGUACCUGCUGGACAGGGCCCACAGUAGUAGGAGCCCAUGGUGUUGAAACACUCGACGGGAGGGUUGGUUGAACAGGGCCGGUCCGGAAGGCUGCAUUCAUCAACGUCAGCUGUGCAGGCCGGGCUACCAGGGGGGGACAUCCAGCCAUUGUCACAGAUACACUUGUAUUUGGGCUUGAAACAGAAAGAAGAGCCUGGGAUCCACCCUGACAGUCAUCAUAGCGGGAAGUGCAGUGUGGACCGUACCAUUCUGCAGAGCAGACACAGCUGGAAGAUUCCAAAGACACAGAAAAUUCACAAUUUAAUCCUGAAAAUAUUAGAAAUACAACAAGCAGCCAGGGGAGCUGGCCUGUGUACAGCAUAGUGACUGCUAACCCUCACACACUGCUCAUGAGGACAAAGACAGCUAAACGCACAUCCGGAGCUGUCGCCUUGGGCCAGCACAAGCCGGAUCACCACUUCACGAACUGUCACGGAAUAAAGUAUAUUCACGCACCACCAUCACGACUGCACGCACCCGAGACGGGUGACCGUGUUUUUGUUUCCUUUAUCAGGACUGCAACCUGUGUUCUUCAGCCCCGAGCUUUACACAUCGUUGUGUAUUGCCGGGGCUUAUUAUUUGUGGUCACUAGACCAGGACGGAAAAUAAAAGCUUAUUUUCUGGA